CCUACGGGAGGCAGCAGUGAGGAAUAUUGGUCAAUGGCCGGAAGGCUGAACCAGCCAAGCCGCGUGAAGGACGAAGGUGCCAAGCAUUGUAAACUUCUUUUGUCAAGGGACAAAAUCAGGCUCGAGAGCCUGACCGAGGGUACUUGAAGAAAAAGCAUCGGCUAACUCCGUGCCAGCAGCCGCGGUAAUACGGAGGAUGCGAGCGUUAUCCGGAUUUAUGGGGUUUAAAGGGUGCGUAGGCGGACUGUUAAGUCAGCGGUAAAAGCCCGGGGCUCAACCCCGGCGAGCCGUUGAUACUGGCUGUCUUGAGAUGUCGAGAGGUAUGCGGAAUGCGCAGUGUAGCGGUGAAAUGCUUAGAUAUUGCGCAGAACUCCGAUUGCGAAGGCAGCAUACCGGCGGCGAUCUGACGCUGAGGCACGAAAGCGUGGGUAUCGAACAGGAUUAGAUACCCCAGUAGUC
rnacentral:rRNA from 1 species